UUCGCAAUGCCCGAAAGGGUGACGAAGCGACGCCGCGUGGGUGAGGAAGGCCUUCGGGUUGUAAAGCCCUGUCAGGAGUUAAGAAAUGUAAGUGCGCUAAUACCGCAUUUAUUUGACGAAGGCUCCAAAGGAAGUCACGGCUAACUCUGUGCCAGCAGCCGCGGUAAUACAGAGGUGGCAAGCGUUGUUCGGAAUUAUUGGGCGUAAAGAGCACGUAGGUGGGUUUGUAAGUCAGAUGUGAAAGCCUCCUGUUCAACGGGAGAAUUGCGUCUGAAACUACAGAUCUUGAGUGUAGGAGGGGAGAAUGGAACUUCUGGUGGAGCGGUGAAAUGCGUAGAUAUCAGAAGGAACGCCGGCGGCGAAAGCGAUUCUCUGGCCUAUUACUGACACUCAGUGUGCGAAAGCUAGGGUAGCAAACGGGAUUAGAUACCCCGGUAGUCCUAGCCGUAAACGAUGGGCACUAAGUAGAGGGGUUUUA
rnacentral:rRNA from 1 species